GGCGGAAAACUAGGAGCCACCACGUCCCCUCUGACAGCUGGGUUCUCCCGAGCCUGGUCCGUGAAGCAGGGGCAGCAGCAGCCGGGCAGAGCCCUGGUCCAGGAGGCGGGCGUGUGUGUGUGUGUGUGUGUGUGUGUGUCACCAGGGCGUGAGGCUGCGCGGACCGACGCCCCCGCAGCGGGGUGGGCGGCCAGGUUCCAUGCUCUGCGACGCGUCCUGACGACAGAAUCACAGGCACGGACACGCGCGCAGGCAGCUGCCUCGGGCCGGGCGCGCGCAGCAGCGGGGAGGCCGCGUCUCCUGAGGUCAGCGGCGGCGGCUCCUGUGACGCAGGAGGGCUGCCCGGUAGCUGUGGGGAGGCGCUGCGGUGCGGGCGUCUGGGAGCCGCGCUCCAGAGUCCGCCCGACGGCGGCACCCGCAGCGCAGGUCGAUGGCACCGCGGCCGCGCCGGCCUCGAGGGUCUCGCAGUCACUGGGCCAGACCCCGCCGCCAGAGACGCAGCCUCCUGAACCCGCUCGCCGACUCCCUGCGACUCUCGGGCGGGACCAACGACCAGGCCACGCCCGACACACCGCGCAGCGCUCAGCGCGGACCCCGCAACCUCUCGCGCGACCGUGGCGGCGGGCCCGCUCUCUCCCCUGGCACCUUCUGACGAGCACGCGACCGAGAAAGCUUCAUUGGGUAACAGAAGCGUCCGUCAGGAGGGACGAGCGGAACUCCGCCCUCUCCCACCCCAUUUCCUCCGGCAGAGCGUCAUCAUUGGCCAGGAUCGCCGGAAGGGGUGGGCGCGAGGGCGGGACUUGGUUUCCGGCGGGCGCGCUGAGGCGACGGGAGGCGGUGGCCGCUGAGGCUGAGGCGGGGUCGAGGGGCUGCGCCGGCCCCUCGGCCCCGCCCAGCCGGAGAAGCGUCGGGUCCCCCUUCCCCAACACUCUGUGCUCCCCUGGGUCAGAGGCCACGUGGAAGCCUCCGGGGAAGUCGGGGCGCGGAUCCGGGCCGCGUGGGACCCGCCCCGCCGCGGGCGUCCCUUUCUCUCCCCUCCCGUGCUCAGGCCUGUCCAGGCUGGAUUGCGGCAGAGACGCGGUGUCCUCAUCCCUGGGUGUCGGGAAGGCAGAAGGCGCCCCGCCGCGGGCCGCCGUGGCGCUGGCGAGUCUGUCAGCCCCCGGCCCUGGCGCGGCCCGGUCCUCCCCGCCCUCCUCCCGGGGGCUUGGCCACCUCCCAGCGCCCCUCCCUCCCGGGCAGUGA
rnacentral:lncRNA from 1 species